CUCUUUUGUUCCUCUUUUCAUCAGGUAAAAAAUUCUGAAAAAUUUAAAAGAAUAAUGCAGACAAUUUUAUCUCUUGGGAACGCCCUAAACCAAGGAACGGCUAGGGGUGCUGCGGUUGGGUUUAAAUUGGACAGUCUGCCAAAACUCAGUGAAACAAGGGCACG